rnacentral:tRNA from 1 species
UUGCUAUUUUAGUUUAUUUUUUAAAAUAUCUAAUUUGUAAUUAGGGGAAUUUUUUGUAG